GUAGGUGAACCUGCGGAAGGAUCAUUAACACGUAUCCAACGUUAAACAACCCCGUGAACUUUCAGCCUGCUCUCGUAGCCCACGCGGCAACAGCAAUCCGGUAAAUCAUUGCCAAACAGUUUUGAUUCGGACCUCUGUUACGAUGUGAGAAGUUAAAGUUACGAUCGAGCGGUAGAGCAGUGGCAUGGCUUCCCGAAGCAGAACCCAGAGAAUGAAAGGGUCUUUGGCUGUGUAAGGAUAACGCCUCACG
rnacentral:misc_RNA from 1 species